rnacentral:rRNA from 1 species
GCCUAGGAAAUUGCCUUGAUGUGGGGAGUAACCAUUGGAACGAUGGCUAAUACCGCAUAAUGCCUACGGGCCGAAAGAAGGGGGACCGUUCGGGCCUCUCGCGUCAAGAUAUGCCUAGGUGGGAUUAGCUAGUUGGUGAGGUAAUGGCUCACCAAGGCGACGAUCCCUAGCUGGUCUGAGAGGAUGAUCAGCCACACUGGAACUGAGACACGGUCCAGACUCCUACGGGAGGCAGCAGUGGGGAAUAUUGCACAAUGGGCGAAAGCCUGAUGCAGCCAUGCCGCGUGUAUGAAGAAGGCC